rnacentral:lncRNA from 1 species
GGGGGGGGCCCUGCACCUGCAGCAUAUGUAGGUUCCCAGGCUAUGGUCCAAUUGGAGCUGUACCCACCAGCCUAUGCCACAGCCAUAGCAAUGUGGGAUCUGAGCCAUGUCUGUGAUCUACCCACAGCUCACGGCAAUGCUACAUCCUUAACCCACUGACUGAGGCCAGGGAUUGAACCAACAUCCUCAUGGAUACUAGUCAGGUUCAUUCACCCCUGAGCCAAGACGGGAACUCCUCCUCCUUAUAUUUUCCAGUUCCUUUCUAAAGUAAACUGCAUUACUAUUUAUAUCUGCUCUUAUUUCCUUCACAUUCACCCUUAAUUCCUUCAGUAUUUUCACUAUCUCCUUUUUGAACUCAGCGUCUGUUACACUUUACAGGUCUGUUUCACUGUUUGCUGCUUCAGGUGAAUACUCUUGUACUUGAGUCUUCAGGUGAAUUCUCUCUUAUGAAUACUCUUGUAUCUUUAACUACGUUCUUUGGGAAUGGUUCCUGAGCUUCAUUUUGCUUAUAUUUUUCUCAUUCUGUGAGUUUAGGGAAACCAACUACUGCAGUUUUGGAGGGCUAUUUUAUAUGCAAGAGCACCCUUGUGUAUUUUGUGAGGGCUCACUAUUUAUUUUUGGCAUGGGAGUUUGGAUGCUAGCUCUUUCUUCAUUGUGAGCAGGCUGUUAUCCUUGAUAGGGUGCUGUGUGUGCUUCUAGGGAGAUGUUGGCAAUGGGCAGUGGUAGUAGCCAGAGCCUGGUUUCUGGGCCCUUGAUAUUAGUAAAGAUCUGCCAGAAGUCAGCCCAGGAUGCUCCUAGUUUCAGGGCCCUGGGAAGUGGCAAUGAGUCUCAGGCAGGUUUAGGUGGCAACCAGAGCAUUUGGCAGUGGCAGCAGCAGAGUGUGUGUGUUCCCAGAGGAGUGAGAGGAACAAUGGGUGCUGCUCAGUUGCAGACCCCUCCUCUGUGCCAUUCUCUGAGGUGACUGAGGCUGUAGGUGCUGCCUGUUCACAGACCCCCUAAUGGUGGUUGGCCACACCCACCUCUGGGAUCUGAGAUAACUGUGGUGGUUUGCCCCCACUACCUAUAGACCACACAAGAAGUGCUCCAUCCCACCUGGCCCACGCAGGAGGUAUUGCCACCCAUAGCUGGCACAAGGGGCACCUCACCACCCAUAGCCUCAUCCUCUGAGAAUCUGCAUGAGCACAUAGAGAGAUAUUCCUACAGCAGUCCACUCCUUCUCUUCUUGCUCUCCUCAACAAUAGCACUUUGUUUCUCCUGCUGGCUGAGACCUCCUCCCACAUUCCCUCAGCUAUGGUGCUCUGCUCCCCAGCCCUUGGCACACUGCUCCAUAGCUCCCGCAGGCUGUCUCCACACCACCAACCCUAGUCCUCUCCCCAGAACUGACUGGAGCCUGAGUCUCAGCACACAGCCCCAACCCGAGAAUCUGAGGUUGUGGUGUCCAGAGGCAGUGGAUAGUCUCUGUGGCUCUCUCUCUGCUUUGCCCAUUUCAGUCCAGCUGUGGUGCUUUUUUAUUGCUUUGAGGUUCCUCCAUCUUGGCUGAUCUCCCUGUCAGUUAGAUGACUUCACAGAGUGUGAGUUCCUUUUCUCUUUCUCAACUCCCUCUCAAGGGUGCUGGUCCUGUCCUGAUUCCUUUCUCUUUCUCUAUUUUUUUUUCCUUUUGUUCUACUCAGUUAUGUGGAGGGUUUCUUGCUCUUUUUGGAGGUUUAACAUCUUCUGCCAGCAUUCAGUAGGUGUUCUGUGAAAAUGGUCCUACAUGCAGAUGGGUUUUUUCCCAUGUGUUUGUGGGAGAUGGUGAGUGCCAUGUCUUACUCCUCUAUCUUUAUCCUGCUCCAUAAAACAAUUUUAAACAAUAAAUUGAUUUUAAAACUCGUACCCAAACGUUCAUAGUAGCACUGUUGACAAUAGGCAAAAAGUGGAAACAAUUGAAAUGUCCAUCAACUGAUGAAUCAAUAAAUGUAGUAUGUCUACACAAUUGAUUAUUAAUCAGCCGUAAAAAGGAAUUGAGUUCUGAUACAUGCCAUAACAUGGGUGAACCUCAAAAAUAUUAAGCUAAGUGAAAAAAGCUAGGCAAAAAAGGUCACAUAUUUUAUGUGCCCAUCUAUAUAAAACAUUAAGAAUAGGCAAAUUCAUAGAAACAGAAAGCAUAUUAGUUGUGCUGAGGGGAAGGGGGGAGGAAUAGGGAGUGACUGAUUCAUGGCUAAAGGUUUCCCUUUGGGGUGAUGAACAUAUUCUGGAACUAGAUAGUGGUGAUGGCUAUACAACAUUGUGAAAAUAAUACAUGACCCUGAAUUGUAUACUUUAAAAUGAUUAGUUUUAUGUAAAAUUAUAAAAGUAAAACACAAAAAUUUAAAAAAACUCACAACACAAAAAGUCAUAAAGUAGAACAUGAAAAUUCUCCUCCAUAUCCCCAGAUCUCCACUCCUACUCUACAAAAGCAAAUGUUAUUUAGCUCUUCAAUAUUAAUACUGCCUUCCAUAAAUUUGCUUUAUAUGUGUGCUUAUAAGGGUAUGGGGUGCAAGGAGGGUACUGUAUGGUCAAACUGUCCAUUUAAACUACUGGAAAACCUUGGGUUCUAAAAAUUCCUAAAUCAGUAUAUAUAAGCCCAGAAGACCUCACUUUGAAUUAGAAUUACCUUAUAAUUGCUUUAGCCCUGGAUCAUAAAAGUCUCCAACAAUGCUUGUAGAGUGGAAGGAAAGGAAAAGAGAAGGCCUCAAAUGACUGAUACUGGGUUUUCCAAUAAUUGUGUGGGUUGGGCUCAAACUGGUUCUCUUAAAAUUUGAGAAAUGAGGGGAAAACAUGAUAAUAUUGGUACCCAAAUGGGUACAUCAGUACAUUUCUGAUAUAUUAAUCACUGAUAGCAUUUAAAUGAAGGUUGAACAGAUAUGUUAUAUGGGUGAAAUGGUCCUAUUUGAAGCACGAGAUUAUAGAAUCUAGAGGUUUUUAACAUUCAGAAAUUACUUGCUUUUUUGAGAUUUGAUUA